rnacentral:rRNA from 1 species
AAUGAACGUUGGCGGCGUGGAUUAGGCAUGCAAGUCGAGCGAGAACCCCGCAAGGGGGGACAGCGGCGCAAGGGACAGUAAUGUGUAGAUCAUCUGCCCUCAGGUCCGGGAUAGCUGCGGGAAACUGCAGGUAAUACCGGAUAACAUCUCCGGAUCAAAGGUGUGAUUCCGCCUGAGGAUGAGUCUGCAUCCUAUUAGCUAGUUGGUAGGGUAACGGCCUACCAAGGCUUUGAUGGGUAGCGGGUGUGAGAGCACGACCCGCGUCAUUGGGACUGAGACACUGCCCAGACACCUACGGGUGGCUGCAGUCGAGAAUCUUCGGCAAUGGGCGCAAGCCUGACCGAGCGACGCCGCGUGUGGGAUGAAGGCCUUCGGGUUGUAAACCACUGUCAGAGGGGAUGAAAUGCGGGUGGGUUCUCCCAUCCGUUUGACAUAGCCUCAGAGGAAGGACGGGCUAAGUUCGUGCCAGCCGCCGCGGUAAGAC